GAGGGCACGUCUGCCUGGGCGUCAC
rnacentral:rRNA from 28 species